AUGUUCUUGGCUUGAUUUGCUCCCCUUCUAAGAACAUAAUUAAUCUCUAACUAUCAAACUGAUAAUAUAAUAAAAAUCAUAAUCACAUUUGAUUCAUCCUAUAACCUCCAUUGAUCAAACUUGAAGCUUUUCAUUUUCCCAAAAAUGGGGAAAUUUUCAGUUCUCAUUUACAUUUCAAUCUUUUCCCUUCUUCUAAUCCUAAUAUCUCAAACUCCAACAACCCGCCCCCGUCACCGCCGCCUCCGCCUCCGCUCCAACUUCACCUUCAAUCCCCCCCUCCUCCGCCACCAACACGACCACUACAUCUCCUUCGACCCUCUCAUUUCUGACAUUGAGCUCCGCCGUGAGGACGACGAAUGGCAUAAGCAGUCCCUCAAAAAUCUCGCCGCCCAUGAUUCUCAUCCUGAGUGGGAAGAGUUCAUCAACGAUGAGGACAGGUUUAAUGUCACCGAAAGAUUGUUUUGGAUUUUUCCCAAAAUUGAUGUGGAUCCUUCUGAUGGGUUUGUGUCGGCGGAGGAACUGACUCGCUGGAACUUGCAGCAAGCCAUGAAUGAAGCUUUGUAUCGGACUGAAAGGGAAUUCCAAUCUCAUGAUGAUAAUCGUGAUGGGUUUGUUUCCUUUGCUGAGUAUGAACCCCCCAGUUGGGUUCUUUCUGCCGGUAAUGGUUCUUUUGGCUAUGAUAUUGGCUGGUGGAAUGAGGAGCACUUCAAUGCAUCAGAUGCAGAUGGGGAUGGAGUUUUGGAUCUAAAUGAAUUUAAUGACUUCUUGCAUCCUGCUGACAGCAAGAGCACGAAGCUGCUUCUAUGGUUAUGUGCAGAUGUAGUAAGGGAAAGAGAUAACGACAAAGAUGGAAAGCUCAAUUUCAGUGAGUUUUUCCCUAAAGUUUUAGACUUAGUAAGAAGAGUGGAUGAAGACUACAAUUCAUCAAAUUGGGAGGACGAAGAACCGGAGGCACUGGCAAAAAAGAUGUUCUUGGAGCUCGACAAAGACUCUGAUGGGUACCUUUCAACAACUGAAAUGUUGCCUAUAAUUGGAAAAAUCCAUCCAUCGGAGGCUUAUUAUGCAAAACAACAAGCAGAAUACAUCAUCUCUCAGGCAGAUAGUGAUGAUGAUGGACUCCUAACCUUGAACGAUAUGAUCGAGAACCCAUCUGUGUUCUAUAGCUCUGUUUUUACUGAAGACGAGAUGGAUUAUUAUCCAUACCACGAUGAAUUUCGUUAGAUGGAUACAGUUAUUUAAAGAAAAAAAAGAUUAUGGGAGAAAAGAAAACGACGUUGAGAAAGCUUGAGAAUUAUCAAGAGAUUGAUCUUCACAAAAUAUUAGUUAGAGGCAACGAGUUCAACUAAUCAGAAAAAUUAUCCUCUCAAUAAUAGGAUUGAGACUCGUCUACACCAUCUUAUGCCACUAACUUGACCAAAGUAAGCAUCUCUUCCUUCUUAGUCAAUAUCAUUUACACAGUUCAACACUACAAACGACAACUACACCUUUAGAGUCACACCCUGAAAUUCGAAAUACCUAAAGUUACCAAAGAGAAUAUUCUCAUUCACGUUCUCUAUGGAUGGAGACCUUCAAAAUUUUCCUUGCGGUUAAUUUCUAUGAUAGAAAGAUGAAAAGUAGGAGUAUGAAAAAGUGCCUUUCUUUCAAGAUGAGGGCACAUCAUUUGAGAAUUUGAAUGUGCAUCUCAUGAAUUUGGAAGCUUUUGAAAUCAUCACACAUACACACAAAGUCAAAAGGAUCAAAAAAGAAACUCAUAUAAAGUUAAUAAAUACAACACAGCACCCAAAACCCUUCUCAGACAUUGUCUGUCCUUUUGGACUAAUACAUUUUACAAAAUGACAAAACCUAAAAUUCUCCUGUCUAUUGUUUCCAUUCCUCUUUGUUUCUCACACCCUCUUUAUUUGCUUCUCUAAUUAUAGGCAUUAAAACAAAUUUAGAAAAAUAGGAUUAUAGAAGAUCUAUCUAUAGAGCGGUUGAAUUAUACAUAUGUGAUACAAGGAACAAUGGUUGGCCAUGAUGCCAAACACAGAUUUUGAUACGAGUAGAAAGCUGAUAGUGAAGAUAAAUGUCACGUACAAGAGUUGGAAAAAGUCUAACCUAAGUUGUAUGACCCCAUCCAUGGAAAGUGACCCAAAGAAGGCCCACUCCAUGUGAGUUGGCUAAGGUAGAUGAAGUAACUCAUGUAAGUCGAUCAGAUGAGGUGAACCACUAGGGUCAGGGAUGGAUAAGGAUGUGAUCCACAUGUAAGUCCACCAAAGCAUAAAUCAAUAAGUGUGGAUCACCCUAACAGAUAUUGAACCUCAUUGAUUUCACGACCCUUUCUUAUCUUUUCACUUUGAGCAUCUUGAGAAUCCAUAUACUAGAUCUUUGGCUUAGAUCUUCAGUAUAAUAUGAUAUUGCCCAUUUUAGAUAUAAGUCUUUACGUAGCUUUGCUUUUGGACUUACGCGGAAGUGAAUCUCUAUCUCCUAACAAAUGUGAAGUUUGGUUUCCUCCAUACUUGGCAUUUAUAACCGUGGAACGUAACAAAAACAACUAGCUAAACUACCCAUCAAAAUUAAUCGAACAACGACACAAAUAAUUAACCAAAAGAUAGUCCAACAAAGAAAAUAACCAAUAUAAUUUUACCUCAAGAUGGACACAUUAUCAUAUUGAAGUAAUAUAUACGAACAAGUAAUCACCUAUCUCUUAACGUGUGAAUUACAAGGUAUGAUUUGUUAGUAAUAAUUAAUAAAUCGCAUAAAAAGUACAUAAAUUUACAACAUGAAAUUUUAAUCUUGACAAGAAUUUGAAUGUGAAUGGAAAAGAUAUAUAUCUUAAAACAUUUGUGGUAUGUGUGUGUGUAUAUAUAUAUAUAUAUAUAUAUAUAGUGUUUUGUUGUGAUGUAGUUAACAUAAAUAGUGAAGCAAAAGAGAGGAAUUUAAGCCCUCGUGAUACCUUCACAUGUCCAAAGUCCUAUAAUAGUGCUUCAAUAUAAAGUCAAUCAUUUAAAUGGGCCACUGUUGCUCUUGUGACACUACCUACCAAACAUAUGUACCAUAACUCAUCAGUCAUCACACAUACAAUCACACUAUUAUAAAACCCCUAUAUAUUCUCUUUUACGAAAAAUCAAUAUGUUAUUCACCUACCAUCAUAAAUCUCAAUUUAGAGAAUUGUAAUUCAUUUGAUCAUAAAGAGUAAACCACUCGAAAUACUACCUUCAAAAAAUAAAUUUUACAUACUUAACUCA